UAGGGAGGUAGCUGGGCCAGCAGAUCCUGGCUGUCCCUGUUUCUCAAGAUGCCAGCAGUCAGCAAAGCAGACCCUCUGAGUUUGCUCACAAGAACAAACUGGAGUAAAUAUUUAACUUGAGUCUUUGGAGUCUAGGGCUUGUGCCUUUCUUUAUUAUUAACCCAACCCCUGUUUUUCUUCACAGUUGCAGAGCUGCUGGCACACAGGAAACAAAGGACCCUUGAAAUAACUUCCUCAUGGAGGCAUGAGCAAAGAUUUCCAAUGAGCAAGGAAAACAAUAGCCCUUGGGACCACGUGUGUUCUGUAA
rnacentral:lncRNA from 1 species